AAAGAGUGUAUUCUUAUAUUGUUUAUGUUUAACAUUUGGCCGUACAUCUUAUUUAAAACGUUUUAUAAUUAGUAUUUUAUUGUUAUUAGAUAAUAAAAUAUAAAUAAUAUUUAUGUGUGACUAUUUUUAAUUUUUUCAUAAAUUUUUAAAUAAGAUAAAUGGUCAACGUUAGACAUAUAAAUUACUUAUGCACUUAAA
rnacentral:pre_miRNA from 1 species